UACGUAGGGUGCGAGCGUUGUCCGGAAUUAUUGGGCGUAAAGAGCUUGUAGGCGGUCUGUCGCGUCUGCUGUGAAAAUCCGGGGCUCAACCCCGGACUUGCAGUGGGUACGGGCAGACUAGAGGUGUGGUGAGGGGAGACUGGAAUUCCUGGUGAUAGCGGUGAAAUGCGGCAGAUAGUCAGGAGGAGCACCGAUGGCGAAGGCAGGUCGUCUGGGCC
rnacentral:rRNA from 1 species